GUCUCAGAAGCUGGUCGCCUCCCCCACGCAGCCUCACCCCACAUCCUGACGCCUGCGUUCGCUUUCACGCCUCUUCUGUUGACGCGCUAGAAGCGAAGCGUGGCCAGUGGGAAGGUCCCGGCAAAACCCACCAACUCAGAAAGCCCUCUCCUGUCCAUUGACUUGUAUUGGCAAUUGACCUGUAACCGCCCAUGGGGCAGUCUUCUGACUGUUGUAGCCGCCAGCCCCAGGAAGACACAGGACCACCAGAAAUCAGCUGUACUGGUACACCUCUUCUCAUCCAGUUCCAUUCCUAAUGAGAUGCACCUUACAGGUUUAAUUUAUCACUCAAUGGCCCCACCUCCAAAACUCAAUCCAGUGCUCACUUGGGCAGCACAUAUACUAAAAUUGGAACAAUACAGAGAUUAGCAUGGCCCCUGUGCAAGGAUGACCUGCAAAUUUGUGACGCAUUCAUUCCAUAUUUUUGAGUUGCUAUAAAGUAAAUAACUUGGGCAUUCUUGAUACUUGAAUAUGGAGUAAGUGAACAAGGAAAGGAAAUAACAAUGCGCUUUAUAAGAACUGUAUGGUAAAGUGGAAAAUGCAGUGUCUUAAAUAAAACUAAAAUCGCCAUAAAAAAAAAAAAAACCUCAAUCCAGAUCAAGGAUGAAAAGUUGAUCUAGAUGAUAACUGACAAGUCUAGUGAUUUAAACAUCCAAGUAUUUCUUCUCUCUCUACUCAGCUGGUGUCUACUAAACUGCCCAACCUACAGAUGUUGAAGUGUCUCAGGGCUUAGUCCAUGAGUCUCUUCUAUAAUUACACUCAUUCUUGGAGAUUUCAUCCAAGCUCAUAGUUUUAAAUAUCAUCUAUGUAGUGAUGACUCCCAGUCUCCAGCCCUUCCCACUGACUACCCAACUCUUUUUAUGUUUCUAACAUCUCCACCUGUAUAUCUAAUUGGUAUCUAUUUAUCCUAUCUAAAACUUAAUCCUCAUCUUUCUUUGCAAACAUGCUACUCCUACAGCCUUCUCUUAUUUCAUUAAAUAGCAACACCGUCCUCUGUCUACAAACCUUGAUUAAUUUCCUGGUCUCCCUGCUCUCUCAUGCCCCCUACUGUCUAUUCUUAACAUGGCAGCUAAAGCAAUCCUUUAAAACCGACAACAAAUCUUGUUACUUCUUAUCCCCAAACCCUUCAAUGGCUUCACAUAUCACUUAGAGAAAUUCUUAUAACAGUCUAUUGGUUUCCUAUUAUAUCUCUGGCCUCAACUCCUAGGACUCCCUUCAGUCACACUAGCUUCUUUAUUCCUCAUAAAUACCAGUCAUGCUCUCCUCCAGGCUUUUGCACAUCCUGUUCUUCCUGCUUGUACUACUUCUCUCUUAGGUGUUCCUCAUUCUCUCCCUUCCUUCAGGUAGUUACAUAGAUAUCACCUUUCCAAGGAGGCCUUCCCUGGCUAUAAUAUUUAAAAUUACCACCCAUUCCAACCUCAUCUCUACCAAAACUCACUCUCUCAUUUCUCUAUUUUAAUUUAAAUUUAUUUCCACAGCAUUUAUUGGCAUUACGCGCACACACACACACACACACACGACUUAUUUCAUAUAUAAAAUGUUUUCCUUAUCAGUUUCUCCCCACUAGAAUGUAAACUCUAUGAAGUUAGGGAUUAUCCGUUUUGUUCAUUAGAUAUGUCAUUUUCCACCAUAUAGAUGAUAAAUGAUGCAGAACUACUUAAAAAUCAGUCUUUUUUAUCUCUCAUUUUUAGGAUAACUACUAGCUAGAGGCUAAAGAAGUGUAGAAAAAACAAUCCCCUUUCUCAAAGAAUGUAUUACUUAAUGGGAUGAAUGUGAACUUAAUGGUAAAAUAAAUAUAAUACAUAAAUAAAACUUGGGGAUACAGAGGAAAGGCAGACCAUAUUUGUUAGUGGUUAUCAGGAAGAGAGGGAACUGAACUGUCUUAUGACAUGGCUAAGCAUGUGCCAAAGCAAACACACAAAGACACAUUAAAAAAUUGAACAUAUUCAAAGAACAAAGAGUAGUCCAGUUUGUCUCUCUUAAGAUCCUUGAGCCCUUCCUCGUGACUCCUCAACACUUGUAUGGCAGGUCACUGAUGAAUAACAUUAGAGAAGGAGAGCAAAGUUAUACCAUGAACAGUUUUAAUCUUGGUCUAAAGAGUUUAGACAAUAAAGUGGAUAAUAAAAAACUGGUGACAGCUAUGUUUUAGAAAAUUAAUCUGAGAGAUUAAUAGGAUGAUUGGGAAGGCAAACACUGAUAGAUCUGACAACAAGGAAGACAGUUAUGAAGUUUUAUCAACAAUCCAGAGGGCUGGUGCAAAUAUGAAAACAUUGUGAUCAGAGAGAAAUAGAGGAGAAAGCAUCUUCUAGGCUUCCUAAGGUAUGAUAUGUGGAGGGCAAGACAUAGGAAAAGUCAAAGUUGCUGCACAGUUUUUUGCUAGGAUGAUUAAGAAACUUGAUAGUAGCAUUAACAGAAUAGGGAAGACAGAAAGAGGAACUGGUUUAAGGUACAGAAAAGGGUUAGUGAUGUUGGCACAAACUGUAAAGAUGAUGAAAACAUACAAAAGCACCAAAGGACAAAGGUUUGGUAAAUAUAUUUUUUUAAACAUAGACAAUAUUUGAAUACCAUAUCAAUCAUAUAUAACAAUAACUACCUAAAAAGCUUUCUUUGAAAGCUUUCCCCAACCCACACAUAUUCUGACAUUUUAUGAAACAGGGAGGAAUUGGCGUGCCAUUUUAAUAAACAUCAUUGACCCUAUUAAAAGAAGAAGAUACAAAGAAA